UACGGAGGGGGCUAGCGUUGUUCGGAAUUACUGGGCGUAAAGCGCACGUAGGCGGAUCUUUAAGUCAGGGGUGAAAUCCCGAGGCUCAACCUCGGAACUGCCUUUGAUACUGGGGAUCUCGAGUCCGGGAGAGGUGAGUGGAACUGCGAGUGUAGAGGUGAAAUUCGUAGAUAUUCGGAAGAACACCAGUGGCGAAGGCGACUUACUGGACACAUAUUGACGCUGAGGUGCGAAAGCGUGGGAGCAAACAGG
rnacentral:rRNA from 1 species